rnacentral:snRNA from 1 species
GUCCAUUAUGGACCGUCCAA